rnacentral:rRNA from 1 species
AUGAACGCUGGCGGCGUGCCUAAUACAUGCAAGUCGAGCGAACGGACGAGAAGCUUGCUUCUCUGAUGUUAGCGGCGGACGGGUGAGUAACACGUGGAUAACCUACCUAUAAGACUGGGAUAACUUCGGGAAACCGGAGCUAAUACCGGAUAAUAUUUUGAACCGCAUGGUUCAAAAGUGAAAGACGGUCUUGCUGUCACUUAUAGAUGGGUCCGCGCUGCAUUAGCUAGUUGGUAAGGUAACGGCUUACCAAGGCAACGAUGCAUAGCCGACCUGAGAGGGUGAUCGGCCACACUGGAACUGAAACACGGUCCAGACUCCUACGGGAGGCAGCAGUAGGGAAUCUUCCGCAAUGGGCGAAAGCCUGACGGAGCAACGCCGCGUGAGUGAUGAAGGUCUUCGGAUCGUAAAACUCUGUUAUUAGGGAAGAACAUAUGUGUAAGUAACUGUGCACAUCUUGACGGUACCUAAUCAGAAAGCCACGGCUAACUACGUG